GUUCGUAGGGCUCCAGUGUCAGCUGCUCCUGCGGCUUCAUGUUCUCCUGCUGCAUCUUCUUCACUUCAGACGCAAACACAGCUUCUGCUGAGGCCGUGGAGUCGAUGCAGUUGGCCUGGAGACGAAAAGGGACUCAAGUCUGAAACCCACAACAAGCUGGCAGUUUUCAACAUGGUGAAGAUGCCUGGGAAUUUUCUGUAUUUCAAAUAAAAAUGUUUUGAAAAAUG